UACGUAGGGUGCGAGCGUUGUCCGGAAUUAUUGGGCGUAAAGAGCUUGUAGGCGGUUUGUCGCGUCUGCUGUGAAAUCUCAAGGCUCAACCUUGAGCUUGCAGUGGGUACGGGCAGACUAGAGUGUGGUAGGGGAGACUUGGAAUUCCUGGUGUAGCGGUGAAAUGCGCAGAUAUCAGGAGGAACACCGAUGGCGAAGGCAGGUCUCUGGGCCACUACUGACGCUGAGAAGCGGAAAGCAUGGGGGAGCGAAACAGG
rnacentral:rRNA from 1 species